rnacentral:rRNA from 1 species
CCUACGGGAGGCAGCAGUGAGGAAUAUUGCACAAUGGGGGAAACCCUGAUGCAGCGACGCCGCGUGAGUGAAGAAGUAUUUCGGUAUGUAAAGCUCUAUCAGCAGGGGAGAAAAUGACGGUACCUGAUUACGGAGCCCCGGCUAACUACGUGCCAGCAGCCGCGGUAAUACGUAGGGGGCAAGCGUUAUCCGGAUUUACGGGGUGUAAAGGGAGCGUAGACGGCAGCACAAGUCUGGAGUGAAAUGCCGGGGCUUAACCCCCGACCUGCCUUGGAAACUGUGCAGCUAGAGUGCAGGAGAGGUAAGUGGAAUUCCUGGUGUAGCGGUGAAAUGCGUAGAUAUUAGGAAGAACACCAGUGGCGAAGGCGGCUUACUGGACCGUAACUGACGUUGAGGCUCGAAAGCGUGGGGAGCAAACAGGAUUAGAUACCCCUGUAGUC